UACGUAGGGUGCAAGCGUUAAUCGGAAUUAUUGGGCGUAAAGCGAGUGCAGAUGGUUACUUAAGCCAGAUGUGAAAUCCCCAAGCUUAACUUGGGACGUGCAUUUGGAACUGGGUGACUAGAGUGUGUCAGAGGGAGGUAGAAUUCCACAUGUAGCGGUGGAAUGCGUAGAGAUGUGGAGGAAUACCGAUGGCGAAGGCAGCCUCCUGGGAUAACACUGACGUUGAGGCUCGAAAGCGUGGGGAGCAAACAGG
rnacentral:misc_RNA from 1 species